rnacentral:rRNA from 1 species
GUGGGGAAUAUUGGACAAUGGGCGAAAGCCUGAUCCAGCCAUGCCGCGUGAGUGAUGAAGGCCCUAGGGUUGUAAAGCUCUUUCACCGGUGAAGAUAAUGACGGUAACCGGAGAAGAAGCCCCGGCUAACUUCGUGCCAGCAGCCGCGGUAAUACGAAGGGGGCUAGCGUUGUUCGGAAUUACUGGGCGUAAAGCGCACGUAGGCGGACUAUUAAGUCAGGGGUGAAAGCCCGGGGCUCAACCCCGGAACUGCCUUUGAUACUGGUAGGCUCUAGUCCGGAAGAGGGGGAUGGAAUUCCGAGUGUAGAGGAGAAAUUCGUAGAUAUUCGGAGGAACACCAGUGGCGAAGGCGGCUCACUGGUCCGGUACUGACGCUGAGGUGCGAAAGCGUGGGGAGCAAACAGGAUUAGAUACCCGAGUAGUCC